rnacentral:rRNA from 1 species
UAGUCUCCUGAAGGAACGUUGAAGACGACGACGUUGAUAGGCCGGGUGUGUAAGCGCAGCGAUGCGUUGAGCUAACCGGUACUAAUGAACCGUGAGGCUUAACCUUACAACGCCGAAGGUGUUU